rnacentral:rRNA from 1 species
UACGUAGGGGACGAGCGUUGUCCGGAAUCAUUGGGCGUAAGGAGCGUGUAGGCGGCUUGGCAAGUCUGACGUGAAAGCCCGCGGCUCAACCGCGGAUUGUCGUUGGAAACUGCCUCGCUAGAGUCCGGAAGAGGAGAGCGGAAUUCCUGGUGUAGCGGUGGAAAUGCGCAGAUAUCAGGAAGGAACACCGAUUGCGAAGGCAGCUCGCUGGAACGUAACUGACGCUGAGACGCGAAAGCGUGGGGAGCAAACAGG